rnacentral:sRNA from 1 species
UGACGGUAAUCCAACCUUCUUGGCGUU